UCCCUGGUGGUUCAGUGGUAAAAGAUCUGCCUGCAAAUGCAGGAGACACAGGUUCGAUUCCUGGUCCAGGAG
rnacentral:tRNA from 1 species